CAGCUGGUGACGCGCAGCAGUAUAAAUGGCUGGUCGCGCCUUGAUGACGUCCUUGGUUGAGUCGACUGUCGAACGACGUUCCUCCUCAACAUGAGAGCCAAGUGGCGGAAGAAGCGCAUGCGCAGGCUGAAGCGUAAAAGGAGAAAGAUGAGGCAGAGGUCCAAGUAAGCGGUUCCGUCCGCUCCAGGGUUCCGCCACCAUCUGGGGGCCGGAGUGACUCGUGACCAGAACCAAGACCUGAGACCAGAGUCCAGCGGCGCCGCCUGCAGCUGCUGUCUUCACCUCUGAGACGUUGUCGUUCCUCAACUUUUGUCAUUUGUUGUUGUUCAUACUAUGAUUAAAGGUUUUGGUUUGUAACAUCA